GGUGUUUAGUGACUCUUUGAAAAAAGAAAAAAAGAAGCUACUUAGUUAUGAAAACCGAAGAUUUGAUGAUGGACGUUAUUGCAAAUUUGGAAAGCAGAGAACCUAAAUAUUGCAGUGAAGGCAAUCUGGGAGGAAGAAGAGUAGGAUGUUGGUUACUAGCACCCUAGUGCUGGAGCAUCCAGAGAGAAGCUGGACCCAAGCAGGAACAAAGUGCAGAGGGCUGCAAUUUCUGCUGCCAAAGUUGAUGCCUAAGGGCCCAUAAUAGCAUCUGACAUGGAGCAAGCUCUCACAAAGCACCUGUUGGCUCACUCACCGAGUUACUACCUGCACAAGUCUGGAAUGAAAUGUGGGACAGAUGAAGUGAGCGGUUCUACUGGAAAGCCCUUCCCAGGAAGAGCCUGCCCUGAUCUCUUUCCAUUCCACUGAUCUUGGCCAAGAUUUGAGCAUCCACUAAUGCAGUGGUUCUCAGUCUGUGGGUCUUGACUCUUUUAGGGGUCCAAUGACCCUUUUACAGGGGUCACAUAUCAGAUAUUUCCAUUACUAUUCAUAACAAUAGCAAAAUCACAGUUAUGAAAUAGCAACAGAAAUAAUUUUAUGGUGUGUGGGGGCCACCACAGCAUGAGGAACUGUAUUAAAAGGUCACAGCCUUAGGAAGGUUGAGAACCAUGGCACUAAUGUGUGCAGGUACUCAAGGAAGAGGGAGCCUGUUAAUUGCAAGCUGUUUUUCAGUUUUGCUGAAAGGGUUCUACUAUCAAUUAUGACACAGGGCUAAGGAGAAGGAAGUCCUAUCUAUGUGGCCAUAUAUUUCAAGAUGUCUAAUUUGUUUGCUGUAAUAAGGCCAGGCUCUGUUAUUGAUGAAUCAGUCAUCUGUGUCUUGUAUACUAGAGGAUACCACCUAGGUCUGUCUGUCUGCAUAAUGGUGGUGCACACAGAGAUGGGUGCUGGGCUGUAUAUUAUUAAACUCUAUAAACAUGUUGAACAUUAAUUGCUACUGCUGGGCAAGGAAACAUUUUUUCCCUCUUUGUGAUAGAGUUAAGUAAUUUAUACAGGAUGACUCAAGCCCUGUCUCUCAGCAGCUGGCAAAACGCUGCUAAAUCAAUCCAUAUGGCUGGCCUCUCUGCACAAGAAUCAAUUGUAUGUCCUGCAUGGGUGAAUGACACGGGGCAUCCGAGCUGCACUGAGUCCUUUCUUGCUGUAAAUGGACUAGCCCUAGAGGUUCUGUCUCCACAUACCUCAGGAGGAUGAGGGUAGAAACAAUUACAGGGUCAAUUUAAACACAAAAUAAAUGCUUACCUCAGUUAA